GAGUCGGACACGACUGAAGUGACUUAGCAGCAGCAGCAGCUUAUCCUCACCAGUAUCAUUAAAAAAAUAUUUACUGAGGGCCUGCUGAGUGCCAGGCCCUGUUCUAGGCCCACUGUCCCACCAGUGAAGAGUUUGUGAAGUUCAUUUUCUGCUGGAAGGAGACAGACAAAAAAGCCAAUGGACACAUGGCCGCCUCGCUGAUGAACUCCAGAGCAGGGGAGCUCAAGGGCUUUCCUGGCGACAAGGUAGAUGACUAAUGGGGGAACUGCAGGCACUCAGGCUGGUGGUGGAGGUAGGGAAGGGAAACUCUCCUGGAGUCCUGGGGUUACAAUCCUGUGAUACCAAGAGGCUGGGAAGGACGCGGAUCUCCUCCUUAGAGGUCAAGAAAAUAGUAAGAGACGCCGUUCCAAACACGUGAUACAUGUCGCUCACAUCUUCCCAGCAGCUCCGUUGGCCUUUGCCCCGUUAUAAGGGCCGUAACUCACGCACCCGGAUCUCAGGCUGCUGAGACUGCAGCCCAGACUGGGGCCACCUCCCCACUGCGCUCCCUCCUGCAGUCUGUCUGGGGGCGCCUCAUGCUCAGCUCAGGGGGUGAAUUAAGGAGUCAGGGCUGUCUUCCGGGCUGUGUGACCUAUGCAGUUCCGUAGGGACCUGUGCUCAGAAGAGCUCGUAAUUAGCUUAAGGCUCUGCUGUCACAGCCUUCAAAUUCGUAAUAAUUUUAAAUAAAGGGCUCUAGAUUUUUAUUCUGCAGUGGGCCCUACAGAUUAUGAAGGUGGUCUUACCACCUUGCCAUCAUACAAGCCAACCUUAGGAUCCAGCCCCUUUGCUUUGAUUGGUGGAUGUUAACUCACGUCUGACCAAUGAGAUGCAAGCAUUGUACUCUGGGGCCUUCUGGGAAAAUCUCUUCUCCCUGGAAAGAGGCGGCGUCCUGCAGAGUAUUUUCUCUCUGUGGCCCUUGCCUUCCUUUGAAUCUUGAGCACUUGGAUACUCCUGUCCACACCUCCUGCUACUACCCUGAUCCAGAUGAUUAUCGUUUACCGCAGAUGUCCCGGACUUCUCACUAGUCUCCCGGCUCCCACGCUCCCCCUACCGCCCCUCCCCACAACUGUAGUCAGAGAAAUCCUAUCACAUCCGUCAGGUCCUGUCCGUCCUCGCUCAGACCCUCCAGGAACUUCCCACCCCUCUCUGAGUGAAAGCCCCAGACCCCACACCCCCUGCAAGGCCGCUCUAGAUCCCGGGCCCGCGCGCUCCCGGACCUCCCGCCGCGCCUCUCUCUCCAUCUUCACUCUGCCCCUGCCGCUCUGGCCUCAGUGCUCCUCACGGAGGAAUGAGCUGUUUGCACGAGCUGGGCCUUCGCAUGAGCUCUUCCCCGGGAAUCCCCGUGGCUCCCGCCCCUGCUCCUUCAGGUCCCCUUCACGAGUCAGGCCGAGCCAAGCGGAACAGGGAUCCUGGACUGGGACCGCGAUGACUCAGCGGAGCCCCUGCCAGCCAUGGCCCUCUUGCUCCAGGAUUCUCCUUGACUGGAGGUAAGGAGUGCACCUUCACCAGUUUCAUCUCCUGUUAUUGCAGCUCGAUUCCUCGCACACGGAUAGUGGUUGAGAUUUGAGUUCAGAUUGCAGCUGGGGUGUGGUCCAGGGGCAGUAAUGGGCAGUAAUGGGCAGGGGAGGCAGGGGAGGCCGGGCGCUCCUCUACCUGAGUCCCUGUCGCAGCCUUCGGCCCUUGUCCCUUCCCACCCAGAAGUCCCGAGGGGCUCCGGUGAGGGGUCCGUUCCCACAAGCCCGUCCCCUCCUGGGAAGGCUUCAGCCAGCCUCUGCCCAGCACGCGGGGAGGGCACUGCCCCGGCCUCCCUGCUGUUUCCUUCCAGCACUUUCCAGGCCCAGGUUCCCAGGGCAGAGCCGCCCCGGCAUCCCUCCCGUGGGGUCUGUCCCUGCUGCCCUGGCUUCAGCCUCCAGAUCGUUCCACUUCCUUUAGCCGUGCCCCCUCUCUCCGUCAAAGCCUCCCAGUCCUCUGCCCCCUCCUCUGGCCCUGCUGAGGGUCCCCAGGUAACGGGGAGCUGCCCCCAGUCAACUCCGUGCUUCCCCAGAGCCCCCGGGACUGUGGGGGUGACACAUGGUGGGGAGGGGGUGGGCUGUCCUGGGGACAGGACCCCGCAGACACGCCGUGGGGAGGACAGCCAGCCCUGAGGGGGCUGCACAGACUGGCCGCUCUCCUUCCUGGCUUAUGGCCCAAACAGCUCCGAGGAAAAGAGCGCGGGUCGACCCUGGCGGGUGGGACUUGCCUCGGCUCUGACGCUGCAGGACGAUGGAGCGGCAGGCUGCAGGGGACCAGCCCUUCCGGAGGCGGGGUGGGGGCUCGGAUGCGGGAGGCGGGGCUGCCCCCCCAUCUUUCCCGCACCGCUGGGAGGGAGCCGUCGGGGGUCCUGGUGCUGUCGCCUGGGGGCCUGUGGGAGGGGCUGCCAAGUCUGUGUCCUGUCCUCAGCCAGGCCAGACCAGGGUCCUGUGUGCAGAGCCUCAGCUGUGCAAGGGGGGGACCACCCUCCCUCCCUCCCCCAUGAGCCCCUCCUCUGCUCCACGGGUCUGACUCAGGGGCAGCAUCCAGUGUCUGACCCUGCUUCGUGGGCAAGAAGGAAAUCCAACCUCUCUCCUCCCAGUUACCAGAGGAAUGGGAUCCUGUCUGAGACUGAACAGUCGAUGUGAAGUUCAGAGUUAACUGGACACCUAACAGGUGCUGGGCUUGGUUCCCAUGUGCAUGUCACCUCCUUGACUCCUCCCAGCAGAUCUGUGAGGCGCACUGUGAUCGCCGCCCUCCUGCUGUGGAGAUGGAUGGGGGUGCUGGAGGGUUCACUCAGGGUCGUGGGGCUCCAGGACACAAGGGGUGGGGUUUGGGCACACGGCAUCCUCACUGCCAACCCCCAGGCCUGCCUGCAGCUGGUGGAAUGAGAGACGCUGCCCCUGAGCGCGGGAUCUGUCAGAGAGGGGACCCUCAGCGUGAUUCCAUCCUGGGGGGCUCCUGCUACAUAAGAAAUGAAGAAAUGGUACGCACAGACAUGAGGACCAGGACAGACGGACAAGUGAAGACGCAGGCGACUCAGUGCUUGAACUUGGUGGCCUGACUUCCUGGGUUCAAACUCCUGGACAAGUGCCUUGGUUUCUGGGCCUCAGUCUCCCCAUCUGCUGCAUGGGCUCACGGCAGCGUGCUCCACCCGGGGCUGGUGUGGGUCUCGGCUCACGAGCACAGGUAAAGCCUGUGAUCCGCACCAGGUCACAGAACUGCCCAGGAAGCCGCGAUGGCUAUUUGGCAGCGUAGCCCACAGUUUCUCUUUGACUCAAGACAGCCUCAUUUGAGGCAACUCCAAGAGUCUAAGAUUCAGGCCUUUUGUGGAGGUGAAGCCCGGGUCUGGGAUAGGCUGGGGCCCUGGGGACUGGGGACAAAAUGUGUUCAUUUAUUUCACAAAGAGGUGAGUUUAUCUGCAUUUUCCACCUGAAUGCUCCAGGGAAACAUUUGUGAGGAUGCUGCUCCCAAAAUAACCUGUGAUUUCAUUUGAGGAGCUAAUUAGGCGGAAUCAAUGUGGUUUAUUCAAAGGAGGGGUCCAUUCCAGACCAAGAGGCAUGGAGAUUACAGGAGGAGGGCUGCUUGGCUGAAUGCAAAGUGGGUGAAGGGUUGUGUGACCACACAGCCUCUACCCCUGAGAAUCAUCUCCCUCCAGCCUCCAGAAACUAAGGAUGCUCUGACACUAGCACUUCCAGUUUCCAGUGGCAGAGAGUGUAGAAAACACGGUCCCUGGGUAUCUGUACCCCACAACCUGCCCCAGCCCUCAGGUCCCUUCCAGAGACCCAGGGUGAGGUCAGCAGGAACCGGAAAUGAGUCAGAAGGGCCUUGGUUCAGAAUCCACCUCUGCCACUUACUGGCUCUGUGGUCCUGGGUAUAUGCAUGACCACUCUGAGCUUCAGUUUUCUCAUCUGUAAAAUGGGAAUAAAUAGAAGCAUUUCCCUCCCAGGGCUAGUAUGAGGCUUGAAGAAGUUCUAUUCAAGUGCGUACGUAACAAGUCCCUGCCACAUCAUCCCUGCUCAGGGGAUGGGCUGUUACUGUUAUUUCCUCCUUUGUAAAGUGGAGAAGAAUAAUUGCCACACUGAUAUUCGUCAUACACACCAUAUACAUCGUACGACUGAGCACAGUGCCUGGGCCAUGGCGGAGCUCAGCAGAUGGGGACGGCUCUCCCCUUGGGUUCGGAUCUGUCUGAACACUUGACACACAGUCAGGCGGGCUGGGUUAUGCUGCCUAACAAGCAGUCUCCUGAGCUGAGAGGCCUGAAGCAUCAAGGCUGAUUUCUUGCUCAGACUGCAGGUCCCCAGAGGGCGGCUGGGAGCUGGGCUCAGCCUCCUCCUCGUGACCCUGGGUGAAGCGGUCUGCCCUCUCUGACGUCACCACAGACCUGGCAGAAGGAAGAGGAGGUGGGGAGGGGUCUUGCCCGGGCUGUUAAUUUCCCCAGCCUGUGGGUGGCCUGGUCACUGUGCUCACCUCUCAUUGGCCAGGAGGAGCACGUGGCCACAGCCACAGGGGACCAGAAGUGCAGCCCUGUGUGUGCCUGGGGUGGGGAUGGCACCGCUGACUUCCAGAGAUUCCUUGGGAACCAGAACUUGGUAACCGCCUCCAAGAGCAUGACCUGCGGUAGAGUGUCCUGCUCCAUCGGGGCGCUCGGUGAAGGAAGGGGGCUGCUUCCUUCUCCUCAUUCAUGACUCAGGUUUAACCUGCUCCAUCGGGGCACCCAGUGAAGGGAGGGGGGGCCUCUUCCUUCUCAUUCAUGACUCAGGUUUAACAAUAGGCGCCUCGCUGGAGAACAGCAUGGCCUGUAGCUAAUUCUCUUUCAGAUCUUCCCUCCUGGAUAAUCCCUUUGAUACUGCAAAACUAACCAGUGAGGAGGUAAAAACAGGAUUUGUUUGAUUCUGCAGGAAUCGUGCUUCUGUCUCCAUGUCAGUUCCCAAAGAGAAAUGUUUGCUGCAGAAAGAGCUUCCGUCUUAAUUACAGUGAUUAAUAAAUAGUAGCCUCACUCGUGGAUGUGUGUGUGUGUGUGUGUGUGUGUAACUUUCACAAGACUUCUAAGCUGGCACAAUGCCGCCCUCCCCCAACCCGAUCAAUGCCCCCUACCCUCAGAGGCCCGAUUAAACAAACAAGAGCCCCGAGAGCAGAAUCGGUGAAGAAGCACUGUGUUGAUGCUCCUUAUUCUUCCUCCCUUUGGACAGUGACUCUCCAGCUCCACUCUGCACACUGGACACUCUGCCAGCUUGGGCAUAGAAAAUUCCAGAGCAAAGACAGUUCAGCCUGGCUCAGGAUUUCCCUGGUGCCCCUGCCUGGCCCCACAGUACUCCUGAAUUUCAAGCCCCCCACGGAAGUGCAGAUGAGGGGUGCUGUCUCUGGCUUCUUGCAUCAUCCUUCACAUCCUGCAUCCCCCUCUGCUAGGCAUCGCCCAUUCCUCAGGCCAGGUGCCUGGGCCCAAGGGGCUGUUCUCAGAGGCCCGUGUUGCCAUGGGAAAGGGGCCUGCCAAGUAGGUCUUAGCUCCUCCACCUGGGGCCUCCCUGACCCCCUUGUCUAAGGAAGCUCCUGUCUCCUAUGGUGUCUCUUCUUGUUCCAUCAGACUGGACUAUUUUCUUCAUGGGGUUUAUUAGAUCUGUGAUCCUGCUCAUAUGAUUAUUGACUAUCUCCUCCCACUUGAAAGCCAGCUCUGUGAGGGCGGAACAGUAGCUGGCCCAAGGCUGGGUUUCCAGGUCAUAGCACAGCCUCUACCACCUAGGAUGCACUUAAUAAGUUUUCACUGAGUGAGUGCAGGAAUGAAUGAAUGAAUAAAAGAGUGAAAAAAUGAGUGAAUGAAUAAAAGCUCAUCCUGGUAGUAGACUCAGCUCCAAACUUACCAGUCCCAUGUCUCUUUUCUUUCAAUGCUUGCCACAUCUGAGACCUAAUGAAGAACUCAUUUGUGCUAAUAAAUACGUAUUAGUUCUUUCAAGAUGAGAUAUGCAUAUUUUAAUGAGGACUGUCUAGAGGCUCCGGUUUUUAAUCCAGGGAAGUUACCCCACUAAUGAGAAUGUGAAGUGAUGAUGAUGAGGGGAUAUGGAUAUUUAGGGCAUGGAGGCUGGGAAGACACAUCAAAUCACAGAAUUGACCAGGCCUCCUAGAUGCAGUGUGGGAUGGAGGGGGAUCUCUGCAGUGGGACUGAGCAAGGACCAGAGCUCGUUUCCGCUUAGCCUGUGGUCUGACUUCCUUGGCCUAAACAUUCCUACAUGUAAAUGGGGACUGUAAAUCACACUUCACAGGGCUGGUAGGAAGGUAGUCCUGGUUUGUUGUAAAUUGCAGGUUUUGCUCACCAAAUAGAAGGAAUGAUGGUAAUGAUCAGCAGUGACCCUACCUGUCACAGAUGGAGUAUCUUUGGCUUCAAGGAAUAGAAAACUCGCAAAUGAGUAGCUCAAUAGGAAGGACAGUUUAUUAUGUCAUAAACCAAGGGAGCCAGGGGGCAGCUCUGGGUUUGGCCGGCUCAGAGGCUGUGUCUCAAGGACCCAGGUUCCUUCCAGCUUCCCGCUGUGCUGUCUUCUUUCCAUUGGUUCGAUUCCCAGCUAUUCCCCCUGAUCUGUGCAGGAAGGUUCCACAGCUCCAAGUACCACAACCUCAGGCCACAGAGCCCAGAAGCAGAAAGACAAGAAAAAUGUGUCUUUCUUCUUGUUGCUUCUUUUUAAGACUCAGGAUACCUUUUCCAGAAGCUCCCAGUGGAUUUUUUUCUCGUGUUACUUCAGCCAAACUUGCAUCCCAUGCUUGUUCCUAGACUAGCUGCUGGCAAAAGAAAUGGACUGGUUGUCAUUGACCAGCGGUUUUCUUUUUUCUUCUAAUAUUUGUUUAUUUGUCUGCGUCAGGUCUUAGUUGCGGCACGGGGGAUCUUUUAUUUGUGAAUUCUUAGUUGCAGCAUGUGGGACCUAGUGCCUUGACCAGGGAUCGAACCCAAGAUCGAGCCUGCAUUGAGAAUGCAGAAUCUUUACCCACUGGACCAACAUGGAAAUCCUGGGUAGGGGUUUUCUACCAGAGAGGUAUGCCCCCCAGGAGACAUGUUGGAGAUGAGGGUGUUUUGGCUUGUCUCAAUGAUUGGUGACUUUGCUGGCAUUGAGGAGGGUGGGGCUGAGAAAGCUUGAUGUUCUACAAUGUGUUAGACAGUCUACUCAGGACAGACUGAUCUUUCACAUGUGUGAAGAGCCACUUUAAUCAUCUGAGCUUAGAACCUGUGUCAAUUUCAUAUCCAAACAAAAUAUUUUUGUAAGAUUUUAAUGCAUACUGACUAUGCUAUUUAUAUUCUAGUCUCUCUUUCUUUUUCCUGUCCUUCUGUUGUAGGGUGAUUCCUGUUCUUAUUCACUUACAUCCACACUUAUUCUCCAGAUGUUGGCAAGGAUCUGACUAUUCGUCAUGUCUUUUUGUAUGUCUAUAGCUGUUCAUUUGCAUACUGAAAUAUGAUUUAUGUUAUUUCAAAUUAUUUUCUUUUAUUUCUUUUUUAUAAUCCACUUAGAGCAUUAUAAUGGGUUUUUAAGUACUUGUGAUGUCGUAGAUUAAUUAUUUAUGACUUUCAUUCCAGGGCAGUAGAAAGGUCAUUAAAUACAUUUCUUCUUUGGAGAGGUCACUGCAUCUGAUGGAUUGAGAGUCACUGGCCUGAGUCCAUCAAGAUCACACCCUGGGGCUGAGAGGGGCGUCUGUGUUCUGAAACUCGGGCUUCCUGGUGCCUGAAUCAAAUCAGAAUUGGUUUGAGAUUGGAGCCUGAGAGUGGCUAUUGGCUUGGCACCCGUGGAGUCAGAUGUGUCCCCCGUACACAGUCUCUUAGCUGCCACUGAGUCGCAGUAUAUGAGAGAUGGAUGGUUCUGGGCGAGGCUGUUGGAGGCAGUCUGCCACGUUCAUUCACUUAGCUGUUACUGAGGAUCUGUUCAGUUCCAAGAAUCACACUCCCAGUUGUGAAGGUCUGGGGGUUCUGUUACAUGAGGUUUAACAAGAGGAAAAGGCUAAGUUUUGACGGUUGCUUUGUCGUCAUCGUUAGUCGCUCAGUCGUGUCUGACCCUUUCUGACCCUAUGGACUGCAGCAUGCCAGGCUUCUGUGUCCUUCACCACAUCCCACCGUCUGC